rnacentral:lncRNA from 1 species
AUGCCCUGCCCUCACACCCCAGCCCUGAACCUCCCUGGCUGCUCAGCCCGGCUCUCUGCAGCCCUCCUGGGGCUGGGCAUGCCCAACCUCCCUCUCCUUUUUUCUCCCAAGAGAAAAGCCUCCCAGGGCUUUGCCUCUGGAGCAGCUUUUCCCCCUCCAGCUCCACCUCAGUGCCAGGGCAGAGAGGCCUCUUGCUGUGAGGAGCCUCCUCAGGGAGCUGGGGAGGGGCCUGUGUAUCUAGGUUGUGCCAGUUUCCAGGAUUCCCCUCCACCCCUAUCCCCGCCCCUCGCCCCGGUUCCUCGCACAGACGUGAGCAGCUGCAGCCAUGGAAGACUUCUUUGUAGAGGAGGCAGCUCCAGUGAAACAGGGGGUGUUGGAGCAGAUAACAGGACAAUGUUGCAGCACAGGUUACAUCAGGACUGGAUUUGUCCUGUCUGCCUUAUAUUGACAUAAAAUGUUUUCUUCCCAUGUGAUUCCUUUAAUUUUGUCAUCAUUUCUAUUAAUUUGGUUGGUUGGUUGUUUUUUUCUGAGUUGGUUACUCUUUAACUUAUUCACACCUCUGGUUGCUUCAGCCCUGCCCUAGACAGAUGUAUCUCUGUGCAAGCAGUACCCUUGGGCAAAAUUAUUUACAGCAAUCCCUGCGUGGGGCAGAAAUGUGACACUGGUUAUUGCCAUGGAGUUUGACCAAAAGGAUGCAGGGCAGCAGGUGACAUGUUAUUGUUGCAGGUUCUUUAGACCAAACCUGAUUUGGGGAGUGCUUUCUUCAUUAGGAAAAGUGACAGCUGCACAAGUUGCCUGUUACACUUCUCUCAUUCCACCAGACUGAUGCUGCAGUGUUUGAAGAGUUGUGCAUUAAGAGGGAUUUUCUGUGAUGGAACUGUACAAACUGAGAUAUUCAGGGUGGAAAAUAGUUAAAGCUAAUUAUUUGAACAGGCUUUUUAACCCAUGGGCAUAUUUUGAAAUGAGCUGUUCUGUUUGGUCACACUGGGGAUGUGGGCUGGGUUUUGCUGCUCUUUGAGUAACUCCUGAAAACAUCUGCAGCAUUAGCAACAUCAGAUCCUGCCACACUUUUCCAGUGACCCUAACCCAGAUACCAGCUGAGAACACCCAGUACAUAGAGAAUGCUGGCAGGUAAAGCUGUGAAUACAGGAGAAAUCUACAACCAGUGGGAGCCAUGCAUCUGAUGCUGCUGGUGGCUGCCACAGUGGUGCAAAAUCUGCUUGCUGAAGCAGGACUUCAUUUGUUUGGGUGAUGGUUCACCCAAAAUAUAUUUUUCAGGGGACUCAUGAGCAGACUCAGGAUGCACCAACUUUGGGACUCAUUAUCCUGAGCUCUACUUCAUGGAUGGGCAGGUGUUCAUCUAUUUGGCUUCCAGUCCUUCACUGUUACAGCGGGAUAAUAGCAUUCCUUACCUCCUGGGAAUGUGGUGAGGAUAAAUGCUGCAUCAGUCUGC